CUGAAGAGGAGGUAGAGGAUCUGGCAGAGGACAGUCUGUGUAGCAGCUAUGUGUCCGACACUGAAAAGAAAUUAAGAAAAAAGAAAGUUUCAGGCAGACCACCUCCUUCUCCUAGGUCACCAUAUCUGAACAGUGCAAGCUUGCAUCUGAAGAGAACUCCAGUAGCAUCAUGGAGGACAGUGAAAGGGACACA